rnacentral:tRNA from 1 species
AAGUGAGAAGCGAUUAUUGCAAUCAGUUUCGACCUGAUCCUAGAUAAAAAUUUUAUCCUCACUUU